rnacentral:snoRNA from 1 species
AAACUGAUGAUGAUAAUUUCAUAUUGGAAUUACCGUCUGAUAUUAAAUUAUGACGAUAACUUUUCGGCUGUUUAUUUCUGAAGUUUCAA